rnacentral:rRNA from 1 species
GUGCCAGCAGCCGCGGUAAUACAGAGGUCCCAAGCGUUGUUCGGAUUUACUGGGCGUAAAGGGUGCGUAGGUGGCGGGGUAAGUCUGGUGUGAAAGCUCCGAGCUCAACUCGGAAAAGCAUUGGAAACUAUCCCGCUUGAGGGUCGGAGGGGAGACUGGAAUUCUCGGUGUAGCAGUGAAAUGCGUAGAUAUCGAGAGGAACACCAGUGGCGAAGGCGAGUCUCUGGACGACUCCUGACACUGAGGCACGAAAGCUAGGGGAGCAAACAGGAUUAGAAACCCCGGUAGUCC